rnacentral:lncRNA from 1 species
CUUUCAGGCAUGUUUCUAAUAUCAGAGAACUGCUGAGAAUAUUUGGCAAGAAAUGGCACAGGGCUGCUUUUUCACACUGUCCACUUAGACUCAGGUCUCUUUUCAUCUGGGUUUGGCUGCCCUUGCUGCCAUACUUAUUUUGAGAUAUCACUUGUUCUCCUAUCAUGCCAUCUCCAUCUGACCCAUUCGCUGGAAGAUCUGAAACAGUUUCAGGCUGAGUAGCAUGUUAGGGUAUGCCUAGUGCAUACCUAAGCAGCUAUUAGCCAGAAGACAUGCAUUGUGAUCUUGAUUUAUUCCCAUUAUUUAAAUAUUUACCAGGAUGACAAGUGCUGAACUCUGUGUUCUGUGCUUCAUCACUAAGACAAUUCCCCAAAGAGAAACAGCAGUGGAAAAGCACAGAUACCAAUUCUUGAAAAAUGAGCUUUUGUUUGCAUAAAGAGUUAAGUUGCAGAAAUAAUAAACUAAGUUAUAACCGUACAAACCUCAUGUGACUGUACACAGGCAAAGAGAAAUUCUUUUUAUGGUUGCUAAUAUUAUUACUUUGUUUCUUAAGUACUUCAGGAGUCCCUGUUUCCAGUAAGAUGCAACACAUAGAAACAUUCCAUUUUGAGGCAGGAGAAUUGCUUGAACCCGGGAGGCAGAG